rnacentral:tRNA from 1 species
GGGCGGUUAGCUCAGCGGGAGAGCAACUGCCUUACACGCAGUGGGUCACAGGUUCGAACCCUGUACCGCCCACCA